rnacentral:rRNA from 1 species
ACAUACUUUAGCAAAGAGAACUUAAGUUAAAGAACCCGAAACCAGACGAGCUAUCCAUGAGCAGUAAUUAGAACCAACUCGUCUAUGUGGCAAAAUAGUGAGAAGACUUGUGGAUAGAGGUGAAAAGCCUACCGAGCCUGGUGAUAGCUGGUUGUCCAGGAAAAGAACGUAAGUUCUACAUUAAAUUUACCACAAAAAACACAUAAUUCAAAUGUAAAUUUAAAUGCUAACCUAAAGGGGUACAGCUCUUUAGGACCAGGAUAAAACCUUGAUCAGAGAGUACAUAAAAUUUAAAACCACAGUAGGCCUAAAAGCAGCCAUCAGUUAAGAAAGCGUUAAAGCUCGAAACACAAACAUAUCUAAUCCCAAAAAAUAUUAUUAACUCCUGAAUAUAAUACUGGACCAUUCUAUUGAUUUUUAGAAGAGAUACUGUUAAUAUGAGUAACAAGAAUUAAAUUCUCCACGCAUACGUUUAUAUCAGAUCAGAUAAACUACUGAUAGUUAACAGCCAUAUAAUAAAAUACAUACACACAAACAUUAUUAAUAAAACUGUUAAUCCAACACAGGAAUGCGAUAAAGGAAAGAUUAAAAGAAGUAAAAGGAACUCGGCAAACAAAAACCCCGCCUGUUUACCAAAAACAUCACCUCUAGCAUAACUAGUAUUAGAGGCACUGCCUGCCCAGUGACUA